UACGUAGGGCGCAAGCGUUGUCCGGAAUUAUUGGGCGUAAAGAGCUCGUAGGCGGUUUGUCGCGUCUGUCGUGAAAGCCCACGGCUUAACCGUGGGUCUGCGGUGGAUACGGGCAGACUAGAGGCAGGUAGGGGAGAAUGGAAUUCCCGGUGUAGCGGUGAAAUGCGCAGAUAUCAGGAGGAACACCGGUGGCGAAGGCGGUUCUCUGGGCAUUACCUGACGCUGAGGAGCGAAAGUGUGGGGAGCGAACAGG
rnacentral:rRNA from 1 species